UACGGAGGGGGCUAGCGUUGUUCGGAAUCACUGGGCGUAAAGGGUGCGUAGGCGGGUCUUUAAGUCAGGGGUGAAAUCCUGGAGCUCAACUCCAGAACUGCCUUUGAUACUGAGGAUCUUGAGUUCGGGAGAGGGGAGUGGAACUGCGAGUGUAGAGGUGAAAUUCGUAGAUAUUCGCAAGAACACCAGUGGCGAAGGCGGCUCACUGGCCCGAUACUGACGCUGAGGCACGAAAGCGUGGGGAGCAAACAGG
rnacentral:rRNA from 1 species